AAAAUCUGAGAGCGUGUGGAAAAGGAUUCUAGACAUAAAAGAACAGAGCAGUGAUUUCAUCCUCAAUGCUCAUGUCUACAAACUGAAGAGCAACCAUAUAAACAUGGAUUUUAAACCUGCCCAGCUGAUGCCUAAUAUCUUACCACAGACUGGGCUGUGAUCUACACUUGCCUUAAAAUAUGGGAUUAGUAAACAGGCCCAUUUUUUGCUCAGGCUGCCCCUCCUACCCUGUGAUAUGAAGAUACAAGCCAUCAGCUUCUGCCAACAGAUCUAUUCUUUAUGAUACGCUGUCUUCAGAUAAGAUAUCCAUUUCUUCGGGAUAUAAAUUGAAUCUUCACAUGUCAUGAAGUAUUUUUAAGUCCAAGAAUAAUGAACUAUUCAUGACAAUGGGACAAGUCUUCUUUGGCUUCUCCAAAAGGAAGAUGGACAUAGAAAAGGCUCCUUAUGGACUUGGUUAGCCAUUUGGGCAAAAAGCUGCUCUUGCUUGAAGUGCUUUACUAGACAUGCAGUACCCAUAGAAAAAUGACUGCUGAAAAUGACUAAAGGUGAGAUGAUCCUUCAGGGUUCCUGCUUCAUGAAAGAGUCUGCUUGACAUUUCCAGUUUGCUGAAGAAAGUGACUGAACUGUCUUUGAAAAAUCUCCUGCUUUGUGAAAAAGUCUAUUGGAUACUAUGAUACUGUGGACUGAAGAUGGAUAACCCAUUGGUACAGAAGAACUUUAGAGACGAGGGGAAUUCCGCUGUUUCUUAUCCCCUGGGAGAUCCAUUGUGGGAAUGGCUAAGACACUGCAGUUUUAUUCAUGAAACCUUAAAGUCACCGAAUAUUUCAACCAGUAAAGUUUUCUAGAGACCUUUUGGGAGGUCUUGUUCCAUAAUACAACAAUAGCCUGGAAACAAUCCACAGGUUCUCAUCUUCUGUGGAAAUAAAAGCAGGACAUCUUUUCAAAAGUAACAUAUCCACCAUGACAUGAUGCUGCACACCUUUAAUCAUUUGGGACUUGGGAGUCAGAUACAGGUGGAUCUCCGUGAGUUUGAGUCCAGUCUGGUCUACAAGAGCUAUUUCCAGGACAGACUGCAAAGGAGGCCCUGAAUCAAAUGUCCCUCUGCCGUCAAAAACUGAUCUAAUGAGAGUUCACCAAGGCCAGUUGGACUGGGAUUGAACGAGCACGUGAUCCAAAAAGAUUAUCUGAA